GUCCCUGUAGCGCAAUGGAGAGCGCGUUGGACUUCUAAUUCAAAGAUUAUGGGUUCUAAUCCCACCUAGGAUG
rnacentral:tRNA from 1 species